CUUGGUCAUUUAGAGGAAGUAAAAGUCGUAACAAGGUUUUCCAUGGAUUAUCAUUCUUGGAAUAUGAUCCUCCGUGGGCACACUUGCUGAAACCUUAGUGAGGUAUUUUUCUAAUAUGCUCUGUUCCGCGACUCUAAACAAUGGAUAUCGCUGGCCUCUUCCCUUUUAACGGGGAGAGGUAACACUGGUUCAAUGUGGGACUGUCUGGCGGAUUUUAAUUCGCCUGGACUAUCCACAGUCACGCGUAUAACUACAGUUAAUAACUACAGUUAUCCGUGGCCUACAGACUAAGCCCCAGUGGACGUAAUAUCACCAAUUACGUUUUAGAUAUAGUCGAGCUCCCUCUAUUACUUUAGGGAAGUGCCACUCGUUUGGUAUACUUGCGUUCCGUAGGUGAACCUGCGGAAGGAUCAUU
rnacentral:rRNA from 1 species